GUUCUGUUCGAGACUGGAAGAAACGAGGAGAACGACUCCUCGCUUAAAAUUUACUCCCAUUAAGCAUUUCUGAAAAUACCGCACGCACUGUUGAGCAAGCUCAGUGCACAUUGGGAAUGGUGAUGUGGCGAGUGAGCACAUGGAUGGUAGAGCAAGAAUUCUCUCUAGCCUUGUCGAGAACUGAAGUUGUUGUGCUGACCUCCUUUACGUUUCCGAAAUACGAGCUGACUCCGUCAGUAAGGAAAUAUACCGUAAGCGCCUAGCGAUUUCAUUCAGGCUAUCGGACAAUGGCGGACACUUCGAGUUUAUUUUUUACAAUUCAAAUUUAUGAGGAGAGCCGGCAGUCAUCGCGAGGGCCAGGACUCGACAAAGUAACUCUAUUAACAUAUUAAAGAAGCAACGAAGCCCAGCAGAGCAAGUUGAGAAUGUUUUAUUGGAUUUGUUUUUUACAGUUUCAGUGUA